rnacentral:lncRNA from 1 species
UAAUGUCGACUGCUCCUGCACCAUCUUCGCCGCCGGCGGGUAACGCCACCGCACCACCACCAGCAACACCUACUGCACCACCACCUGCAACACCUUCAUCACCACCACCUGCAACACCUUCAUCACCACCUCCGGCAACACCUUCAUCACCUCCGCCGUCAACUCCGGCGAAUCCACCACCGGUCACCCCAUCUGCUCCGCCUCCUUCUACCCCGGCAACACCUUCAUCACCACCUCCGUCGACGACUCCAUCAGCACCACCACCAUCAACACCUUCAAAUUCACCACCCUCGCCACCAACAACUCCGGCGAUAUCACCACCGUCCGGAGGAGGCACUACUCCGUCUCCACCUUCCCGGACUCCACCAAGCUCUGAUGACAGUCCAUCACCACCAUCCUCCAAAACUCCGCCGCCACCUUCACCACCGUCUUCAUCAAGUAUAUCAACAGGAACUGUCAUCGGAAUCGCCGUUGGAGCGGUGGUGGUUCUGGUGUUUUUCAGCAUUUGUUGCAUUUGCUUUAGGAAGAAGAAGAGAAGA